GGAUUGUGGCUCAGAUGUAGAGCGCCUGCCUAGCAUGCGUAAGGCACUGGGUUCGAUCCUCAGCACCA
rnacentral:tRNA from 1 species